GACGAACGCUGGCGGCGUGCUUAACACAUGCAAGUCGAACGGAAAGGCCCUGCUUUUGUGGGGUGCUCGAGUGGCGAACGGGUGAGUAACACGUGAGUAACCUGCCCUUGACUUUGGGAUAACUUCAGGAAACUGGGGCUAAUACCGGAUAGGAGCUCCUGCUGCAUGGUGGGGGUUGGAAAGUUUCGGCGGUUGGGGAUGGACUCGCGGCUUAUCAGCUUGUUGGUGGGGUAGUGGCUUACCAAGGCUUUGACGGGUAGCCGGCCUGAGAGGGGUACCGGCCACAAGGGGACUGAGAUAGGCACCAGUCGCCUACGGGCGGCAGCAGGCGGGAAUAUUGCACAAUGGGCGGAAGUCUGAUGCAGCAGCGCCGCGUGCGGGAUGACGGCCUUCGGGUUGUAAACCGCUUUCUCCGGUGACGAAGCGUGAGUGACGGUAAUGGGUAAAGAAGCACCGGCUAACUACGUG
rnacentral:rRNA from 1 species